CAAAAGUACAAAACUAUUCAGACUACCAACUAUAAUCACUAAAGCCACAGAUUCACAAUUCAUAAGUCAAAUUUGUAUGCUUGGACCAUAUACACUUCAAAUUGGAUGUUUCUAGCAGAAAAUCUAAUUUAUUUACGGCCAAAUCAAAUUGAAUAUGUAGUUCCCGACCAUCUCAGUUUACAACUUAUAAUGUGUGACAUUUUCAAGUUGUAACACCUAUGUUUCUGUUACAUUAACGUUUUAAGUUGUACCUCUGAAACAAAAUCCUCCAAUUUACCAUGUGAGACAUGUUGAAUUAUCCAAGAAAUCCCUACUUGGACAAUGCAAAGGAAAUAGAGAAGCUGAUAGACGAAUAAAACACAAUUUGUAUGUUCAAGACUUCACACAUUCAUUAGCACCAGUUCUCUUUUCACCAUUCACUUGCAAAAAGCUAAUCUAUUCGUUCACCCUGUCCUUGCAAGUGUGUAAGACUGUAGAGGCUCUACAAUGUAUAUGACCUCUAUUAGCAUUUGUUGCCCCAAUGCAGUCAAAACAACCAGGCUAGAAUAAAAAGGCAACUUGCAAAGAACACUAAGCAAAUACUGCUGCCAAAUUCACUACUCGAAGUUAUUCUAUAAUGCAAAACAGAAUAACACUAUUCUUCUUCAAUCUCUGAAACUAACACACAUUGAACUCUCUAGAGAAUCAGCUGGUACUAUUUGUUGGCAAAAUGGUUUAACAGCAAAUUAUCAGACAGGAUAUGGCUGUCUUAUCAACUUUCAGAAGGAAU